rnacentral:rRNA from 2 species
AGACAGGUGCUGCAUGGCUGUCGUCAGCUCGUGUUGUGAAAUGUUGGGUUAAGUCCCGCAACGAGCGCAACCCUUAUCCUUUGUUGCCAGCGCGUGAUGGCGGGAACUCAAAGGAGACUGCCGGUGAUAAACCGGAGGAAGGUGGGGAUGACGUCAAGUCAUCAUGGCCCUUACGAGUAGGGCUACACACGUGCUACAAUGGCGUAUACAAAGGGAAGCGACCCCGCGAGGGCAAGCGGAACUCAUAAAGUACGUCGUAGUCCGGAUUGGAGUCUGCAACUCGACUCCAUGAAGUCGGAAUCGCUAGUAAUCGUAGAUCAGAAUGCUACGGUGAAUACGUUCCCGGGCCUUGUACACACCGCCCGUCACACCAUGGGAGUGGGUUGCAAAAGAAGUAGGUAGCUUAACCUCCGGGAGGGCGCUUACCACUUUGUGAUUCAUGACUGGGGUGAAGUCGUAACAAGGUAACCGUAGGGGAACCUGC